AAUAGCUCUGGCUGCUGCUCUGCAGCAUCCUCUGUCCUCGCGUUACGUGAUGUGUUACAGUUGGAUCGGGCCCCUGCUCCUGGCAUCAUGGAUAAACAAGCAGGGCUGAAUGUGUUGGUAUCAGGUGUUGCCUGGGCUGAAACCUGGUUGACAUCAACACUGUUAGCGGUUAGGUUCCACGUGAGCAGCUUGACAGCAGCUGACGGCGUCUGACCCACAAACAGUGCAUCAACGCGUCACACGUCCCGGUUCUGGUCUCCACAGAUAAGCUCUAACGUCACUGGUGCCGCUUGGUGUCAGUUUGACCGGACUGGCCUCUGACUCCAGCCGCUCACUGGCCUGAAGGAUCCGGCGUAGCCUUACCUUCUGCGGCGGGUGCUAAUCUGAGCUGCUGUGUCACAACAUGAACAAAGCUCAGAAUGGACUGGCAGCAGGUACAUCUGUCAGAAGGAGGACUGACGGACGUUCACUGCACAGGCGGCUCUUUGUUUGGAGCCCUUCUACAGGAUGGACCCCGCUUCCACAGCUACAGAUUAUAUUGUAUAGAGUAUUUGCUCACCUUUCCCCAAGCUGGGCGUGGACUGCUGCUUGCAGAGUGGAAUGUCUCGUCUCUUCAUCUUGAUCUGCUCCAACAGAAAGGACCGACGUCUUCUGAGCUGGUGGAUGUAGAAGCUCUUUAUUAUAGUGACACAUUUUAUCUUGUGGAUUAGCAAAAUAAAGUACAAAUGCAAACACUG